rnacentral:rRNA from 1 species
UACAGAGGGUGCAAGCGUUAAUCGGAAUUACUGGGCGUAAAGCGUGCGUAGACGGUUAAGUAAGUCGGAUGUGAAAGCCCCGGGCUCAACCCGGGAAUUGCAUUCGAGACUGCGUAGCUAGGGUGCGGAAGAGGGAAGCGGAAUUUCCGGUGUAGCGGUGAAAUGCGUAGAUAUCGGAAGGAACAUCAGUGGCGAAAGCGGCUUCCUGGUCCAGCACCGACGUUCAGGCACGAAAGCGUGGGGAGCAAACAGG